GACGAACGCUGGCGGCGUGCUUAACACAUGCAAGUCGAACGGAAAGGCCCUGCUUUUGUGGGGUGCUCGAGUGGCGAACGGGUGAGUAACACGUGAGUAACCUGCCCUUGACUUUGGGAUAACUUCAGGAAACUGGGGCUAAUACCGGAUAGGAGCUCCUGCUGCAUGGUGGGGGUUGGAAAGUUUCGGCGGUUGGGGAUGGACUCGCGGCUUAUCAGCUUGUUGGUGUGGUAGUGGCUUACCAAGGCUUUGACGGGUAGCCGGCCUGAGAGGGUGACCGGCCACAUUGGGACUGAGAUACGGCCCAGACUCCUACGGGAGGCAGCAGGGGGGAAUAUUGCACAAUGGGCGGAAGCCUGAUGCAGCAACGCCGCGUGCGGGAUGACGGCCUUCGGGUUGUAAACCGCUUUCGCCUGUGACGAAGCGUGAGUGACGGUAAUGGGUAAAGAAGCACCGGCUAACUACGUG
rnacentral:rRNA from 1 species